rnacentral:misc_RNA from 1 species
UUGUAGCAGACAGAAAAAUUCAUCGCAGACAUCUGAGACAUUAUUAUCCCCGAUAUGCCCAUUAUCAUUUCUUAACGGCGGUCGUAUGUUUACUUGCUUUCAGCAAAUGGUAAAGUCAAGGACAUAAAUGCAGAUAAUGUGGUCAUAUUUACCAGCCGCACCAUCAGUUGAUAUCUUUAUCGUGAUUUAGACAACAUUUAUCAGCUAAAUCAUCGAAUAGCUGGAGAUUUGCAGACUGAGGAAUAACAGUACCUGGGAUGAUAUAACCAUGUCAUGUAAAUCUGUGAGGUCAACAUUGUGAACUGUUGUGAAAUAUAUAAUGUAAAUACAGGACACACAUGUGUGAGAUAUCGUCCUAUCAUAUCCUGAUGUGAGGUUCUUGAUAUCUGUACAGGGCUUCAGGUAUUUGUGUGUCAAGUGGGGCAGUCCCUAAUAGACCUGUCAGUUAUGUCAAAUCUUCAGUGAGGACAACAGACUAGGGACACAGGAACACAAUGGCACUUGUUAGGGGGAUCCUCAGAGGUCUGGGCCGUGGCCUGAAAUCCCCUGUUAAUCGGGGUCUCUGGACCACCAGCAGCAGACAGUACAGUGAGGAAUCCGUGACCAGCAAUGGAGAAGACAAGCCAUCAGUUAAGGUGCCUUCCAGUGCUAGGGUGGUGAUCUGUGGUGGGGGGGUUCUUGGGACAUCCAUUGCCUACCAUCUAUCUGAACGAGGCUGGACUGAUGUGGUUCUACUGGAGCAGGGCAGACUGACUUGUGGUACCACAUGGCAUUCUGCUGGAAUGGUUGGUCAGGCCAAGGAUGAAGUGGAAGGGUCACAGCUGGUGGCCUACAGCAGACAGCUGUACAAACAGCUAGACAAAAGUCACGGAGUGGGAUGGAAAGAAUGUGGCAGUGUUUUUGUAGCACAGACUCAAGACAGAUUGACAUUUCUACAGAGAAAAAAUGCUAUUGCCUUAGCCACUGGUAUAGAGUCCCACCUGAUCUCACCAGAAGAGGCUGGAAAGCUGUGUCCCUGGAUCAGAACGGAUGAUUUAAAGGGGGCACUGUGGGUGCCUGAUGAUGGAGCGGUCACUCCGCCAGAUCUUGUGACAGCUUUCACCUCCAUCGCUAGGGAGAAAGGUGUAAAGAUCAUGGAGGGUGUGAAAAUAGAUAAAAUUCACACCAAAAAUGGUCGUGUAUCCCAAGUGACAACAUCCCAUGGUGAUAUAGACUGUGAAUACUUUGUCAACUGUGCUGGUCUGUGGGCAAGAGAAGUAGGGACAAAGUCUGAACCAAAUGUCAGAAUUCCUCUCCAUCCAAAUGAGCAUUUCUACCUGGUCACGGCACCCAUCAAAGGGCUGGACCCCUUAAUGCCAGUUGUACGUGACUUUGAUGGUCGGAUCUAUGCUCGGGAGUGGAGUGGAGGCCUGCUAGCUGGAGGGUUUGAACCACGAGGCAAACCAGUGUUCCAUAAUGGAGUUCCUGAUAAGUUUGAAUUUCAGCUUCUCCCAGAGGACUGGGAUCAUUUUCAGGUGUUGUUGGACCCAAUUCUGCAUCGCUUCCCAUGCAUGGAGACUGCUGAAGUGAGACAUUUGGUGAAUGGACCAGAAAGUUUCACUCCUGAUGGUCACUGGAAUCUGGGUGAAUCACCAGAGGUGAAGAAUUACUUUGUGGCAGCAGGCAUGAACUCCAUGGGUGUGGUCGGCUGUGGAGGGAUAGGGAAACAUCUGACUGAAUGGAUCAUUGACGGCGAGCCGAGCAUCAACCUCGCAGAGCAUGACAUCCUGAGAUAUGUUCCUCACCAUAGCAACAAGAAGUUUCUCAAGGAGAGAGUCAAGGAAACCAUUGCUCUAUAUGAAAUGCGGUUCCCAUAUGAAUAUUGGGAGACUGGGCGUAAACUGAGGACAUCGCCCCUACACACCACACUGGAGGUAGACGGGGCAAUCUUUGGGGAAACCAAUGCAUACGAACGACCCAUCUACUUUGCAAGACCUGAUGAUGAGUUUGCAAAUCAGUAUCGUCCUGGAAAAGGCUCCUAUGGCAAGCCACCCUGGUUUGAUAAUGUCAAGGAGGAGUACUGGGCUUGUAAGGAACGUGUCUGUCUCAUCGACAUGUCAUCCUUCUCAAAGUUUGAAGUCAAGUCCAGUGGGUCUGAGGCCUUACAGUUCUUGGAGUAUCUGAGUUCUAAUGACAUUGAAGAUAACAUUGGAGAGAUAAUCCACACGGGUAUGCAGAAUAACCGUGGAGGAUACGAGAAUGACUGUACUGUUGUACCUCUCGAACACAACCACUUUUUCAUAAUAUCCCCGGCAUCCCAGCAGACCAGAUCCCUAGCUUGGCUGCAGCGGUUCCAGCCUGAGGAUGGGUCAGUUCAGAUCCGAGACAUCACAUCAGCGUAUGCAGGGAUCAAUGUAAUAGGUCCUCAUGCCCAACAACUGCUAGCUGAUGUGACAGACAUCUCGACCACUCUGAAGGACUUCAAACCUAUGACAUGCAAGGUUAUAGAUGUUGGGUUUGCCAGUGAUAUCCGGGCCAUGAGACUGACACAUGGUGGAGAAGACGGAUUUGUCCUCUAUGUUCCCUCCGAGUAUGCACUCCAUGUGUACGACACAUUGAUGACUGCAGGGAAGGAUUACGGAAUUCGUCACGCCGGCUACUAUGCCCUGAAAUUUUUGCGUAUUGAGAAGUUCUAUGCAUACUGGGGCAUGGAUCUCACGACCCACACCACUCCUCUUGAGUGUGGCCGCGACUUCAGGGUCAAAUUUGAUGCAGGAGAUUUUAUCGGGAAGGAGGCAUUACUGAAGCAGAAGGAAGAGGGGAUCAGCCAAAGGUUUGUUCAGUUCUUACUGGAGGACUUCAAUGUUGACGAGGACGUGUGGCCUUGGGGAGGAGAACCAAUCUAUCGUAAUGGCAAGUUCUCUGGAACCACAACAUCUAGCGGGUAUGGAUUCAAGCUGGAUAAGAUGGUGUGUCUUGGUUUUAUCAGAGACUAUGACGAGCAGGGUAAGAGCGUCAUGUACAAAAACAUGAACCAAUUUGUAUUGGACAGGAAUGCAAAGUAUGAAAUAGCUAUUGGUGGUCGGAUGUUUGAAGCCAAAGUGCGUCUUUACACUCACAAGGCAGCCUACUCAGCCUCCGAGCCAGUCUUCAUCCCAGUCCCAUCAAUGAAUACCACAUGAAUGGAGUUUUACUACUGUGUGAAUGUUAGAUAUCUAAGGACACAGUUAUUGGACCUACAGUGAUACAGGUUAAGUCAACUUCAGGUAUUUAGAAAAUUAUCUAAUCACGUUAACAUCACUGCUGUAACAGUUACUCGCCAAAGAUUCUAUGAAGGACUUGUUCUCAAAGAAAUAUAAAAUCCUGUCAUGCUAGAAUCUAGCUCCAUGUAUGGUUAAAUCUUAAAACAGUAUCAUGUGCAAUAUCAUGUGCAAUUUGAUUUUCUUAUAAUUAGAUAAAGUUCUUUAAGUGUAAAUGUAAGUGUAUUGAUUUUGAAUUAAUAUCAUGAGCAAUUGCAUUUUUUUCACAUUAGUUGAAGAACUUCAGGUGCAGAUAAAAGUUUAUUAAAACUGACAAAAUUUGAUAAAGACUUAUUCUGUAAUGGAAUACCUGUCGAUAAAGAACUCUUCUGUAAUAAAAUUCUUGUCUGUAAAUGGCAGUGGUUCUAGUUCCCAUCUCUUUAGACAAUUAAACCUCCGCAAAUGUAACAUGUUUAAAGGUAUAGAAGCAGUUUUCAUUAAUAGAUUAUUGAAUUAAAUUAAAAGUCAAUAAAUAUCUGAGAUGGAUGACAAUUCAUGAACAAACACGGCUAAAGUGAAGAAAUGUAGAUGUACAUGUAUCCUUGUUGAUUAUUUGAUCAUUAAUUGUAAUUACUUACAUGAUGUGUGAGUCAGGUGUAGAGGAUAUAUAAUCAUGUACUAGAAAUAUGUCAUUAGAUUAACCUAAACAGAUGUUCUUAAUACAGGAUUUUUUAUUACUGUAAUCUGAAUGAUUCCAUCAAAAUAAGAAAAUAUUUGAUAUGAUAGAUUUAAUAUUUAUCGUCUUUAAUAAAUUAAUAAGAAAUUAGGUAGACAUGAUAAACUAUCAUCAUUAUUCACGAGUUAUCACUUAAACAGACUUUUUCUCUUAAACAAUAAUGUGUGUUUGGGAAGCCAUUAUUGUUUCCUUUCAAACUCGGACUGUGAUCAAAAUGUUUAUAACCCUGAAGCAUGUAGGUAUGCAGACAUGAUUUUUUGUUAUAAAACUUACCUAAAUGGGUGUUUAACCACAUGAAGAUAACAAGAUAGUUCACCAAAGCCUAGAGAAGUUUGACAUGAGGGUAACAUGAUAUCAGAGGUAUUCCACAUGAAGGUAACUUGAUAUUAGAGGUAUUCCACAUCAGGAAUUACACCUUGUAUGUAAAAUAGUGCAAAAUGAAAUAGUGCAAAAUGUAAAAUGGUGCAAGAUGAAAAAGUGCAAAAUGAAAUAGUGCAAAAUGAAAAAGUGCUAAAUGUAAAAUAGUGCAAAAUGAAAUAAUGCAAAAUGUAUACCAAAGAUUAUACUGUGUUCUGUUGAAUUCCUGCCGGUUUGGUAAUAUUUCUGUGUGACUGAGAUUGUUCUAGGUUAGAUUGAGGAUCAGGAACAAAUUCAGGUUUAACAUAAGAAUUAUGGUCUAUGUUGUUAAUACCCAGUAUGAUUAAUUGUAGCAUAAAAUACAUUCUAAAGAUUUUUUUUAACAAGUUCAAGCAUGUUAACUUUCCUGUAUAUUAAGUGUAAGCUUUUCAAGGUAUUGGCUAACUGGUGUCAUGUUUUUGUAGAGAAUCAUUGAUUUGUUGAACAGGAUUUAGUUUAAAGUUUACAAUCACUUUAAGGUUCAUGAAAAUAAUAAUUUGUGUUAAUUUUUUUUGUAAUUUUUGAUAGAUUUCAGUAUUAUUUAUCAUAAUAAUAUCUUUCUUUCCUUUAUAGUCCCAUACGUAUUGUAUUGCUGGAAUGUUUAUAUGUUUGUAUAAACCAAGAGAAUUUAUUCACGGUAAACAUGGUACAAUGUUGGUAAUGAAGGGCAUACAUUUCUCCAAGUCAACAAGUUAUACAUUCAAAAAGGUGUAAAAAUAAAAUUUGCAUAUUAUGUAGAUUGAAAUUGAUGCCAAGACAUGUAAUCACUAAAUUAUUUUUAUAAUAUUCAUGAUAAACUGUUUUUAAAGUUUUGAUUAAUUUCCAACUAUUAAAUGGAUAAUUCAUUUAAAUAUCAGACUUAAUAUUAUACUUUGUGUAUCUAUAUGUUAUUAUUUAAGUCUGCAUAUACCAGGUAUAGGUCAGUAACAAAAGGGCAUACGAACACAGACAACCUUUUAUGUCUGAUACUUCCAUGUAAUAAAGUAUGUUAUAUUACUU